rnacentral:rRNA from 1 species
GAUGAACGCUGGCGGCGUGCCUAAUACAUGCAAGUCGAGCGAACAGAUGAGGAGCUUGCUCCUCUGACGUUAGCGGCGGACGGGUGAGUAACACGUGGAUAACCUACCUAUAAGACUGGGAUAACUUCGGGAAACCGGAGCUAAUACCGGAUAAUAUAUUGAACCGCAUGGUUCAAUAGUGAAAGGCGGUUUUGCUGUCACUUAUAGAUGGAUCCGCGCCGCAUUAGCUAGUUGGUAAGGUAACGGCUUACCAAGGCAACGAUGCGUAGCCGACCUGAGAGGGUGAUCCGCCACACUGGAACUGAGACACGGUCCAGACUCCUACGGGAGGCAGCCGUAGGGAAUCUUCCGCAAUGGGCGAAAGCCUGACGGAGCAACGCCGCGUGAGUGAUGAAGGUCUUCGGAUCGUAAAACUCUUUUAUUAGGGAAGAACAAAUGUGUAAGUAACUAUGCACGUCUUGACGGUACCUAAUCAGAAAGCCACGGCUAACUACGUG